rnacentral:rRNA from 1 species
UAGGGAAUCUUCGGCAAUGGGGGGAACCCUGACCGAGCAACGCCGCGUGAGUGAAGAAGGUUUUCGGAUCGUAAAGCUCUGUUGUUAAGGAAGAACGAGUGUGAGAAUGGAAAGUUCAUGCUGUGACGGUACUUAACCAGAAAGGGACGGCUAACUACGUGCCAGCAGCCGCGGUAAUACGUAGGUCCCGAGCGUUGUCCGGAUUUAUUGGGCGUAAAGCGAGCGCAGGCGGUUAGAAAAGUCUGAAGUGAAAGGCAGUGGCUCAACCAUUGUAGGCUUUGGAAACUGUUUAACUUGAGUGCAGAAGGGGAGAGUGGAAUUCCAUGUGUAGCGGUGAAAUGUGUAGAUAUAUGGAGGAACACCGGUGGCGAAAGCGGCUCUCUGGUCUGUAACUGACGCUGAGGCUCGAAAGCGUGGGGAGCGAACAGG